GAAGCUGACCAGACAGUCGCCGCUUCGUCGUCGUCCUUUCGGGGAGACGGGCGGAGGGGAGGAAAGUCCGGGCUCCAUAGGGCAGGGUGCCAGGUAACGCCUGGGAGGGAAACCCACGACCAGUGCAACAGAGAGCAAACCGCCGAUGGCCCACGUAAGUGGGAUCAGGUAAGGGUGAAAGGGUGCGGUAAGAGCGCACCGCGCGGCUGGUAACAGUCCGUGGCACGGUAAACUCCACCCGGAGCAAGGCCAAAUAGGGGUUCAUAAGGUACGGCCCGUACUGAACCCGGGUAGGCUGCUUGAGCCAGUGAGCGAUUGCUGGCCUAGAUGAAUGACUGUCCACGACAGAACCCGGCUUAUCGGUCAGUUUCACUU
rnacentral:RNase_P_RNA from 1 species